GUAAGCCUUGUGAAAGAGCAGUGUACAACAGCUUGAUGCGUGAAGUAAGCAGCGACAGCCUGGAAUACUUGCACACUGGUCGACGACACACCUGUUUUACUUUAAGACAGUGCGUCUGAAAACUUACCGUAGUGUUCCAUCAGCUGGGAGAGGAAGAUUCCUGCUCUGAAACCCAGAGUUUACUGGCUGUGUAAAUAUACCUGUAAGUGGGAGUAGCCAGUUGUGACCCCAGUGUACCAGGUGUGCGACCCAGCUGCGUACGUUCAUGUAGGACUAACCGUUUGUGACCCCAGUGAACCAGGAAGUUCAUGGAGGAGUUACCCCUGACUUGACUACAACUGUAAGAUACAAAGACGUGAGGCGAAUUUACAUUCCCGCCGCCACUAUUACCACCACCACCGUCACCACCACCAGAGAAGUUGUAGGUAUGGGGCUGGAAUGAAGCACAGCCGUCCAUCACUCGAAUUGGAAGUUCUUCCACCCUCCUGUGACGCAAAUGUUAGGUGAAUGUGGUGAACAUUGCACACAAAAUUGAUGGCCCAAGAGACGGUAAGGUUACUGCUGGUGCCUCUGAAGCAGACAGUCAUACAGUUUGUGAAAUCUUCCUAUCAAGAUCUUCGUAGCUCAUUGAUACAACAUUUGAACUGCUGCGUACCUGGACCACGGGUGUUAAGAUAAUCUGUGGCGAGGCUAGUGCUAGUGACGCCAGCCCUCCCUUCUUAAGCCUAGCCACUAACAACACAGGU